rnacentral:rRNA from 1 species
CCUACGGGAGGCAGCAGUGGGGAAUAUUGGGCAAUGGGCGAAGGCCUGACCCAGCAACGCCGCGUGAAGGAAGAAGGUCUUCGGAUUGUAAACUUCUUUUAUGAGGGACGAAGGACGUGACGGUACCUCAUGAAUAAGCCACGGCUAACUACGUGCCAGCAGCCGCGGUAAU